CCCGCACAAGCGGUGGAGCAUGUGGUUAAUUCGACGCAACGCGAAGAACCUUACCAGGGCUUGACAUCCCCUGACCGCGUAUGAAAGUACGAAUUCACCUUCGGGUGACAGGGAGACAGGUGGUGCAUGGUUGUCGUCAGCUCGUGUCGUGAGAUGUUGGGUUAAGUCCCGCAACGAGCGCAACCCCUACGUUUAGUUGCUAACGCGUGAAGGCGAGCACUCUAGACGAACUGCCGUUGACAAAACGGAGGAAGGUGGGAUGACGUCAAAUCAUCAUGCCCCUUAUGUUCUGGGCUACACACGUGCUACAAUGGCCGGUACAGACGGACGCAAAGCCGCGAGGUGGAGCAAAUCCUAAAAAGCCGGUCUCAGUUCGGAUUGCAGGCUGCAAUUCGCCUGCAUGAAGUCGGAAUCGCUAGUAAUCGCAGGUCAGCAUACUGCGGUGAAUACGUUCCCGGGCCUU
rnacentral:rRNA from 1 species